rnacentral:piRNA from 1 species
UACAUGGCCUGCUGAUGCAUAGAGC